rnacentral:rRNA from 1 species
AACGAACGCUGGCGGCGUGGCUAAAACAUGCAAGUCGAACGAGAAAGCCCGGGCAACUGGGCGAGUAAAGUGGCGGAAGGGUGAGUAAUACAUGGGUAACGUACCUUGGUCACAGGGAUAGCUGCGGGAAACUGCAGGUAAGACCUGAUGAGACCACGGCACCAUAUGGUGCUGAGGUCAAAGGACGGGGAUCCGCAAGGAUCUGUCGGACUAAGAGCGGCCCAUGUCCUAUCAGCUAGUUGGUGAGGUAACGGCCCACCAAGGCUGCGACGGGUACCGGGACUGAGAGGUUGGCCCGGCACAUUGGGACUGAGACACUGCCCAGACUCCUACGGGAGGCUGCAGUAACGAAUAUUCCGCAAUGGGCGAAAGCCUGACGGAGCGACGCCGCGUGUGGGAAGAAGUCCUUCGGGAUGUAAACCACUGUCAGGGGCUACCAAGUGAAGAGGGCUAAUACCCUUCUGAGUUGAGGAGCCCCAGAGGAAGCCACGGCUAACUUCGUG